CAGUAGCCGCGGGAAUACAGAGGGUGCGAGCGUUAAUCGGAUUUACUGGGCGUAAAGCGUGCGUAGGCGGCUUCUUAAGUCGGAUGUGAAAUCCCUGAGCUUAACUUAGGAAUUGCAUUCGAUACUGGGAAGCUAGAGUAUGGGAGAGGAUGGUAGAAUUCCAGGUGUAGCGGUGAAAUGCGUAGAGAUCUGGAGGAAUACCGGUGGCGAAGGCGGCCCCCUGGACAAAGACUGACGCUCAGGUGCGAAAGCGUGGGGAGCAAACAGGAUUAGAUACCCCUGUAGUCCCUGUCUCUUAUAC
rnacentral:rRNA from 1 species